rnacentral:rRNA from 1 species
AUGGUUCGAGAAACAAGCAAAGAACCGACUACUAGCAGCAUAGGGGGGAGAGAAAGCUUCUUUGAUCAUUCAGUCAGCGAGCCAGCGAGUCCAGAAAUAGGGGGAGAGAAUGCUGAACAGGGAGACAAAAAUACCGAGGCAUACUCCACACCGAAACCUCCUGAUGAAACGAUGAAGUUUGAUACUUUUGAGGAAGCUUAUGAACACUACAGGCAAUAUGCACAGAGACAUGGGUUUGGAAUGAGAGUGGAAUACAAAAAAACAAUCAAAGACAAUACUGUAAGCAGAGUCCUCCUGGUUUGUGGGAAAUACGGCAAGCCAAAAACAAACAAGGAAGAGACAGAGGAUGUGCAGGACCCAAAAGGCAUCGUGAAGAAGAGGAAAAGAGGGAAGGUUGUAAGGUCGGGAUGUCCGGCCCACCUUUACAUCACCCACACGGAUGCGUGGUGGAGAGUCAAACGCUUCAACGACGACCACAACCACCCUCUAAUAAGAAAGCCGUCCUUGACAAAGUUCCUAUCAUCACAUAGGAACAUUCCAAAAGGUGAGCAUGACUUCUUGAAGAUAUUGCACGGAUGCAACAUAGAGACAGCCAGACAGAUGCAACUAAUAGAAUGGUUCUACGGGAAUCCUAAAGAUGUACCAUACACAACAAAGGACAUCGCAAACCAGCGAGCUAAAUUCCGGAUGGAGUACCGCCAUGCUGAUGUGGGGAGCACAAUCUCGUACUUCCAAGAUGUUUAUAUUAUGAAUGCAGUUGAGGAGUUUGAGCACAAGUGGUGGGUGGUGAUGGAAGCGUAUGGCUAGACUGACAACGAGCAUUUCCAAUGGCUGUGGGAGAACAGGAAGUGUUGGGUCCCGGUAUACUAUAUGCAUGACUUUUUCCUGUUCUUGCAGACCACGGCAAGAAGCGAGGGAUUUAACUCUGUGCUUAAGAAGUAUGUCAACCCAAACAACUCACUGGUCGAAUUCGCACAACAGUACACUGCGAUACAGGAUAAGGUGAUGGCUAGCGUGUAAAAAGAGCAGUUGGAAACAGUGUACAAAGAAACCGAAAUGUACUUGAUGAACCCGCUGGAGAUGCAGGUGUGGGGGCUAUACACACAUAACUUGUUUUGCAAGUUCUAGGUGGAGAUGAAGGUGAAAUCAGCAUACAGAUGCGACACAUUGGAUGAUGGUACUUUCAAGGUCAGCUCAGUACGUGGGAUAAUACCGAAAUAUGGAGACAGGGACUACCAUGUGCAAGCAAACAUGGUUGAAGAGACAUACUCGUGUAGUUGCUGCAAGUUUGAUCGUGACGGGCUACUGUGCACGCACGUACUACGAGUUAUGGACCAAAUUGGGGUAUACGAGAUACCUGAAAAGUACAUCCUAAAGAGGUGGACAUGGGAUCCAAAGGAGGAUCUUAUUCAACCUGAUUUCGAACAGCCGACAGUUAAGAAGUCGAUGCCAGAGGAGGGGAAAAGCGUCAUGCGAUACACGUCAAUUCUUAUAGAAUUUAAGGCAUCGGCCAAAGAUGCUUGCCUAACAGAUGACGGGACCAGAUUGGCAAGAAAACACCUAAUUUCAAGGAGGAGCUUGAAAUCCUGA